UUCUGGCUCAGGACGAACGCUGGCGGCGUGCCUAAUACAUGCAAGUCGAACGGUCUUUCUAUGGAAGCUUGCUUCCACUGAGAAGAUAGUGGCGAACGGGUGAGUAACACGUGGGUAACCUGCCCAUAAGAGGGGGAUAACAUCCGGAAACGGGUGCUAAUACCGCAUAGUUUUCUUGAUCGCAUGAUCGGGAAAGGAAAGACGGCCUUUGUGCUGUCGCUUAUGGAUGGACCCGCGGCGUAUUAGUUAGUUGGUGAGGUAACGGCUCACCAAGACGAUGAUACGUAGCCGACCUGAGAGGGUGAUCGGCCACAUUGGGACUGAGACACGGCCCAAACUCCUACGGGAGGCAGCAGUAGGGAAUCUUCCGCAAUGGACGAAAGUCUGACGGAGCAACGCCGCGUGAGUGAAAGAAGGUUUUCGGAUCGUAAAACUCUGUUGUCAGAGAAGAACAAGUUGGAGAGUAACUGCUCCAGCCUUGACGGUAUCUGACCAGAAAGCCACGGCUAACUACGUGCCAGCCGCCGC
rnacentral:rRNA from 1 species